GCGCUGCGCGCCGCACCCAGCACCGCGCUUGGCUCAUUCAGCAUCAUCUGGCUCGGCUGCAAGAGUCUACGCGCUUGACGGAUUGAGCCAGCAUGCGGCACCCCAAUUCCCCAAAUAGCGCCUGUUCCCCGUUGACCUACCUGUUCUUCUUCGAUUAGGCUCACACCCCCGUUCGUGGCGAUGCUCCAAUCCUCCACCAGCGAUUUCCUGGUGCCAUCCAUUCCCUUGGGUCAAUCGUUGCCAUCAUACACCGUGAGCAACCGGGCAUCGUCGUCGCGGCUGCCAGUUCUUGCCGCUCGUGUCGCCCAGCCAUCCCCAUCCAGUCCAGCGGAAACAGGAUGCAGAGAUCGACAAGGAGACAAGCAGACGAGCAGGCCAGACUAGUCCCCGUUUUUUCUUGCUGCUGUAGCUUGAAACAAGAAUGCUUUCUUAUUUCGUAGGCCCUAGGCGUUGAGCAGUUGUGGAUGGUGAACCCUCUCAUGGAGCGAUGUCCUAGGAUCAGAAGUACUGUCAUCACCUGCGUUCUUUGGAAUAUCCGGAAAUGCAGGAAUGCAAAAGUUUUUAGGAGCGAAGAUGAGACAAACUUAAUGAUAUCCCGGAGAUGUAGAGAAGAUUUAUCUCUUUUGUCCAAUUGAUGCUCUUCCCUCCCGGAUAAGGCGAGACUAUUAGAGUGGGGUAAUUUUUUUUCCAAUGUAAAAUAGGCCUUGAUUGUUUUUGUUUCUGUCUAUUUCUGUCCCCUCAUCUUUUGCAUCUCUCUGUAAUCUGGUCAAUCUUGUAAAUAUUUAUCUCUUUUAAUAAAUAAUUCAGGAAAUCCGAUCAGGAUUGCUGUA